CCUACGGGCGGCAGCAGUGAGGAAUAUUGGUCAAUGGCCGGAAGGCUGAACCAGCCAUGCCGCGUGAAGGUCAGUGCCCUAUGGGCGUUUAACUUCUUUUGUGCGGGAGCAAUAAUGGUCACGUGUGGCCAGACGAGAGUACCGUACGAAUAAGCAUCGGCUAACUCCGUGCCAGCAGCCGCGGUAAUACGGGGGAUGCAAGCGUUAUCCGGAUUUAUUGGGUGUAAAGGGUGCGUAGGCUGUGAGGUAAGUCAGCGGUGAAAUGCCCCCGCUCAACGGGGUGAAGUGCCAUUGAUACUGCCUUGCUGGAAUGCGGAUGCCGGGGGAGGAAUGGGUGGGGGAGCGGUGAAAUGGAUAGAUAUCACACAGAACACCGAUUGCGAAGGCAUCUCACGAAUCCGCGAUUGACGCUGAUGCACGAAAGCGUGGGUAUCAAACAGGAUUAGAUACCCGUGGUAGUC
rnacentral:rRNA from 1 species